UGAGAAGUGUGGAGUUUGCACAGACUUGGAGAUGGGAGAAGAAUGUUGCUGUUUCUAAACAGAAAGAAGUUACUCAGACUGAGUACAUGGAUUCCAUAGACAGUUCAGACAUUGCUACAUGUGGCUGCUACAGAGUGAGAACUUUUAUUUGUACAGUGAGUGUGUCAGCCAUUAUCUGCUGUUUUAAGAUCUCCUCAACUCCAUGUUAACUAAAUGCAAGAGAAAAGAUAGACUAGUCAUAUCUGAUGUGCUGCAGAGUGUGUUAUAUAUUACAGAGAUAACCCAGAGAAUAUUCUAGCACUUUAUUCUGCACAAAUACACUAACUGGAUUGCACAGCAGCAUUACAUAAGGAAGUAACUGAGUGUGCUGUAUAUUAAAGUGAUAACCCAGAGAAUAUUCUAGCAGUUAUUCUGCCUGAACAGUUUGCACAAAUACACCAACUGUCUGUAGUAAAAAAAAAAUGACUGGCUUCCCAGUAUGAGACAAGUGGAUUGCUGAAAUUCAUUAGCAAGGUAGAGACUGUUAUGUUAUUCAGUAUUUCUGAGAAGCUUUUGACCAUUGCAUCGAUCACAAGCAGCGCUCUCUAGCUUUAUUCACAAGCAGUAAGGGAUUAUUACCUCAGCUAAACUCUAUUAAGUAUAUGAAACUGCAUUGUACAGCGCCAACAACAGUGCAACAACAGUUAUGUUUAUAAUUUCAUGAGCUCAUGAUGGACUUCUGACUACAUAGCUGAGCAGACCUGCUGCCGCUUUGAGCGAAAAUGUUUUACACGACCUGACAACUGGGCAAGGCUUUAAAUGUUUUAUAUAUAUAUAAAUAAUAUCAAUAUGCAAUAAAAAAUCAUCUGUAUA